GGGCCCAUAGCUCAGUCUGGCUAGAGCGACUGGCUCUUAACCAGUAGGUCGAGGGUUCGAAUCCCCCUGGGCCCA
rnacentral:tRNA from 1 species